UCUCUCUUCGGCAGUAAGUAUACGAAAAUUAGAACAAUACAGAGAAGAUUACCAUGGCCACUGGGCAAGAAUGACAUGCAAAUUUGUGAAGUAUUCCAUUUUUAA